rnacentral:rRNA from 1 species
CCCCUGACCCAGCAACGCCGCGUGAAGGAUGAAAUCCUUCGGGAUGUAAACUUCGCAAGAACGGGAAGAAUAAGUAAGGGUUAAUAUCUCUUACGAUGACGGUACCGUUUGUAAGCUCCGGCUAACUCCGUGCCAGCAGCCGCGGUAAUACGGAGGGGGCGAGCGUUAUUCGGAAUUAUUGGGCGUAAAGGGCGCGUAGGCGGCCCGGUAAGUCAAAGGUGAAAUCCCUCGGCUCAACUGAGGAACUGCCUUUGAAACUGUCGGGCUUGAGGCCGGGAGGGGGUAGCGGAAUUCCCAGUGUAGCGGUGAAAUGCGUAGAUAUUGGGAGGAACACCGGUGGCGAAGGCGGCUACCUGGACCGGUUCUGACGCUGAUGCGCGAAAGCGUGGGUUAGCAACACAGGAUUAGAUACCCUGGUAGUCCACGCUGUAAACGAUGAGUGCUCGGUGUCGCGGGUAUCGACCCCUGCGGUGCCUUAGCUAACGCGUUAAGCACUCCGCCUGGGGAGUACGGUCGCAAGGCUGAAACUCAAAGGAAUUG